rnacentral:rRNA from 1 species
UUAAGUUAUUAAGGGCGCACGGUGGAUGCCUUGGCACUAGAAGCCGAUGAAGGACGUUACUAACGACGAUAUGCUUUGGGGAGCUGUAAGUAAGCUUUGAUCCAGAGAUUUCCGAAUGGGGAAACCCAGCAUGAGUUAUGUCAUGUUAUCGAUAUGUGAAUACAUAGCAUAUCAGAAGGCACACCCGGAGAACUGAAACAUCUUAGUACCCGGAGGAAGAGAAAGAAAAUUCGAUUCCCUUAGUAGCGGCGAGCGAAACGGGAAGAGCCCAAACCAACAAGCUUGCUUGUUGGGGUUGUAGGACACUCUAUACGGAGUUACAAAGGACGACAUUAGACGAAUCAUCUGGAAAGAUGAAUCAAAGAAGGUAAUAAUCCUGUAGUCGAAAAUGUUGUCUCUCUUGAGUGGAUCCUGAGUACGACGGAGCACGUGAAAUUCCGUUGGAAUCUGGGAGGACCAUCUCCUAAGGCUAAAUACUCUCUAGUGACCGAUAGUGAACCAGUACCGUGAGGGAAAGGUGAAAAGCACCCCGGAAGGGGAGUGAAAUAGAACCUGAAACCGUGUGCUUACAAGUAGUCAGAGCCCGUUAAUGGGUGAUGGCGUGCCUUUUGUAGAAUGAACCGGCGAGUUACGAUUUGAUGCAAGGUUAAGCAGUAAAUGUGGAGCCGUAGCGAAAGCGAGUCUGAAUAGGGCGUUUAGUAUUUGGUCGUAGACCCGAAACCAGGUGAUCUACCCUUGGUCAGGUUGAAGUUCAGGUAACACUGAAUGGAGGACCGAACCGACUUACGUUGAAAAGUGAGCGGAUGAACUGAGGGUAGCGGAGAAAUUCCAAUCGAACCUGGAGAUAGCUGGUUCUCUCCGAAAUAGCUUUAGGGCUAGCCUCAAGUGAUGAUUAUUGGAGGUAGAGCACUGUUUGGACGAGGGGCCCCUCUCGGGUUACCGAAUUCAGACAAACUCCGAAUGCCAAUUAAUUUAACUUGGGAGUCAGAACAUGGGUGAUAAGGUCCGUGUUCGAAAGGGAAACAGCCCAGACCACCAGCUAAGGUCCCAAAAUAUAUGUUAAGUGGAAAAGGAUGUGGCGUUGCCCAGACAACUAGGAUGUUGGCUUAGAAGCAGCCAUCAUUUAAAGAGUGCGUAAUAGCUCACUAGUCGAGUGACACUGCGCCGAAAAUGUACCGGGGCUAAACAUAUUACCGAAGCUGUGGAUUGUCCUUUGGACAAUGGUAGGAGAGCGUUCUAAGGGCGUUGAAGCAUGAUCGUAAGGACAUGUGGAGCGCUUAGAAGUGAGAAUGCCGGUGUGAGUAGCGAAAGACGGGUGAGAAUCCCGUCCACCGAUUGACUAAGGUUUCCAGAGGAAGGCUCGUCCGCUCUGGGUUAGUCGGGUCCUAAGCUGAGGCCGACAGGCGUAGGCGAUGGAUAACAGGUUGAUAUUCCUGUACCACCUAUAAUCGUUUUAAUCGAUGGGGGGACGCAGUAGGAUAGGCGAAGCGUGCGAUUGGAUUGCACGUCUAAGCAGUAAGGCUGAGUAUUAGGCAAAUCCGGUACUCAUUAAGGCUGAGCUGUGAUGGGGAGAAGACAUUGUGUCUUCGAGUCGUUGAUUUCACACUGCCGAGAAAAGCCUCUAGAUAGAAAAUAGGUGCCCGUACCGCAAACCGACACAGGUAGUCAAGAUGAGAAUUCUAAGGUGAGCGAGCGAACUCUCGUUAAGGAACUCGGCAAAAUGACCCCGUAACUUCGGGAGAAGGGGUGCUCUUUAGGGUUAACGCCCAGAAGAGCCGCAGUGAAUAGGCCCAAGCGACUGUUUAUCAAAAACACAGGUCUCUGCUAAACCGUAAGGUGAUGUAUAGGGGCUGACGCCUGCCCGGUGCUGGAAGGUUAAGAGGAGUGGUUAGCUUCUGCGAAGCUACGAAUCGAAGCCCCAGUAAACGGCGGCCGUAACUAUAACGGUCCUAAGGUAGCGAAAUUCCUUGUCGGGUAAGUUCCGACCCGCACGAAAGGCGUAACGAUUUGGGCACUGUCUCAACGAGAGACUCGGUGAAAUCAUAGUACCUGUGAAGAUGCAGGUUACCCGCGACAGGACGGAAAGACCCCGUGGAGCUUUACUGUAGCCUGAUAUUGAAAUUCGGCACAGCUUGUACAGGAUAGGUAGGAGCCUUUGAAACGUGAGCGCUAGCUUACGUGGAGGCGCUGGUGGGAUACUACCCUAGCUGUGUUGGCUUUCUAACCCGCACCACUUAUCGUGGUGGGAGACAGUGUCAGGCGGGCAGUUUGACUGGGGCGGUCGCCUCCUAAAAGGUAACGGAGG